rnacentral:rRNA from 1 species
AGCAGUAGCCGCGGUAAUACGUAGGUGGCAAGCGUUGUCCGGAAUUAUUGGGCGUAAAGGGCUCGCAGGCGGUUUCUUAAGUCUGAUGUGAAAGCCCCCGGCUCAACCGAGGAGGGUCAUUGGAAACUGGGAAACUUGAGUGCAGAAGAGGAGAGUGGAAUUCCACGUGUAGCGGUGAAAUGCGUAGAGAUGUGGAGGAACACCAGUGGCGAAGGCGACUCUCUGGUCUGUAACUGACGCUGAGGAGCGAAAGCGUGGGGAGCGAACAGGAUUAGAUACCCCAGUAGUCCCUGUCUCUUAUAC